UAUUCCAGCUGUGGCAAACAAAGAAAUUUCCUGAAUCUUUUUGACUACAGAGAGUGAUACACUGUUGACUCUGAUGCUGAUUUGAGUUGUCUGAUUCUGUAUUUUUGUCUUUUGUUAUAGAGUGAACAGAUCUUUGGUUUUGCCUUUGCUGACUACUGAUCUGAUUGUCUCAACUCUGGUGACCUGCUGCAGACAACCCUCUCUCUAUCAUUAUCAAGCAAUUCUGUCUGUCCUAUCACUCUCCCUGCUCUAUCUAAUUUGACAGCCAUUCUAUCUUGUAUCCCUCUAUCUCUACUGCUCUAUCUAAUUUGAAAGCCAUUCUAUCUUGUAUCCCUCUAUCUCUACUGCUCUAUCUAAUUUGAAAGCCAUUCUAUCUUGUAUCCCUCUAUCCCUACUGCUCUAUCUAAUUUGACAGCCAUUCUAUCUUGUAUCCCUCUAUCUCUACUGCUCUAUCUAAUUUGAAAGCCAUUCUAUCUUGUAUCCCUCUAUCCCAAGCGCUCUAUCUAAUUUCAGAAUCCAAGUUUUCAGAAUCCAAGUUUUCAGAAAUCCAAGUUACCAGUACUUGAUCUAUCUGUUAUAGAAUUCUGAGAGAUCUCUGCUCUCACUGCUCCUUCUUUCCUGUCAUUAAACUCUCUCACAUUCAGUCAUUUUGCUGAAAAUUACAAUUAGAAAGUUGAAUAUACAGUAGUAGAAUUGCAGUACAGUAGAACUUAUAGUAGAAACUACUUAUACAGCCCUACAUUUGUAGUUUUAACUUGGCAUUACACUUUGGAAUAAACACUGAUAGUUUGGCU